GACGAACGCUGGCGGCGUGCUUAACACAUGCAAGUCGAGCGGGGUCCAACCACUGGCAACAGUGGGGAAGACCUAGCGGCGAACGGGUGAGUAACACGUGAGGAACCUGCCCCAGAGACCGGGAUAACCCUCCGAAAGGAGAGCUAAUACCGGAUGCCGUCAUCGGAUCGCAUGGUCUGAUGACGAAAUGGAUUCCGCUCUGGGAGGGCCUCGCGGCCUAUCAGCUUGNGGUGAGGUAACGGCUCACCAAGGCAUCGACGGGUAGCUGGUCUGAGAGGACGAUCAGCCACACUGGGACUGAGACACGGCCCAGACUCCUACGGGAGGCAGCAGUGGGGAAUCUUGCGCAAUGGGCGAAAG
rnacentral:rRNA from 1 species